GACGAACGCUGGCGGCGUGCUUAACACAUGCAAGUCGAACGGAAAGGCCCUGCUUUUGUGGGGUGCUCGUUUGGCGAGCGGGUGAGUAACACGUGAGUAACCUGCCCUUGUCUUUGGGAUAACUUCAGGAGACUGGGGCUAUUACCGCAUAGGAGCUCCUGCUGCACGGUGGGGGUUGGAAAGUUUCGGCUGUGGUGGAUGGACUCGAGGCUUAUCCGCUUGUUGGUGGGGUAGUUACUUACCAAGGCUUUGACGGGUAGGCGGCCUGAGAGCGUGACCGGCCUCACUGGGACUGAGAUACGGCGCAGUCUGGAACCGGACGCAACAGUGGGGAAUCUUACACAGUAGCCCGGAGUCUGAUGUGACAGCGCUCCGAUCGGGAAGACGGGUUUCGAGUUGUGAACCGAUGUGUAAUGAGCUGAGGCCAUAGUGACGGUACCGGGUAAGAAAGCACCGGCUAACUACGUG
rnacentral:rRNA from 1 species